GCUACUUUUGCCGGCUAGCGGGGGACGGGUGAGUAAUGGCUGGGGAUCUGCCCACUCAAGGGGGAUAACUACUGGAUACCGUAUCUAAUACCACAUACACCCUACGGGGGAAAGCAGGGGACCUUCGGGCCUUGCGCGAUUGGAUGAAUCCAGGUGGGAUUAGCUAGUUGGUGAGGUAACGGCUCACCAAGGCGACGAUCCGUAGCUGGUCUGAGAGGAUGAUCAGCCACACUGGAACUGAGACACGGUCCAGACUCCUACGGGAGGCAGCAGUGGGGAAUAUUGCACAAUGGGGGAAACCCUGAUGCAGCCAUGCCGCGUGUGUGAAGAAGGCCUUCGGAUUGUAAACCUCUUUCAGAGAGGAGGAAAGGUCUGUAGUUAAUUUGUGUUGGCUGUGACGUUUCUCGCAGAAGAAGCCCCGGCUUACUUCGUUCCCGCCACCGCGGUUAUUCGGAGGGUGCAAGCGUUUAUUGGAAUUUCUGGGGGUAAAGCGCCCGCAGGCGGUUGGAUAAGUUCGAUGUGAAAAUCCCGGGCUCAACCUGGGAAUCACCUUUAAAUCUGUCCUCCUAGAGUUAUGUAGAGGGGGGUAGAAUUUCAGGUGUAGCGGUGAAAUUCGUAGAGAUUUGGAAGAAUCCCGGUGGGGAAGGCGGCCCCCUGGACAAAGACUGACGGUCAGGUGUGAAAGCGUGGGGAGCAAACAGGAUUAGAUUCCCUUGUAGUUCCACGCCGUAAACGAUGUCGAUUUGGAGGAUGUGUCCUUGAGAUGUGGCUUCCGGAGCUAACGCGUUAAAUCGACCGCCUGGGGAGUACGGCCGCAAGGUUAAAACUCAAAUGAAUUGACGGGGGCCCGCACAAGCGGUGGAGCAUGUGGUUUAAUUCGAUGCAACGCGAAGAACCUUAGCUGGCCUUGACAGAUGUGGAAUCCUGUAGAGAUACGGGAGUGCCUUAGGGAAUCAGAACACAGGUGAUGCAUGGCUGUUGUCAUCUGGUGUAGUGAGAUGUUGGGUUAAGUCUCGCAACGAGCGCAACCCCUGUCCUUUGUUGCCAGCACGUAAUGGUGGGAAUUCAAGGGAGACUGUCGGUGAUAAAUCGGAGGAAGGUGGGGAUUACGUCAAGUCAUCUUGUCCUUUACGGCCAGGGCUACACACGUGCUACAAUGGGGUGUACAGAGGGCUGCAAGCUAGUGAUAGUGAGAGUAUUCCAAAAAGAGUGUCGUAGUCGGGAUGGGAGUCUGCUACUAGAUUCCGUG
rnacentral:rRNA from 1 species